GAUGAACGCUAGCUACAGGCUUAACACAUGCAAGUCGAGGGGAAACGCCAUCGAAAUCUUGCUUUUGAUGGGCGUCGACCGGCGCACGGGUGAGUAACGCGUAUCCAACCUGCCCAUCACUUGUGGAUAACCUUGCGAAAAUAAGACUAAUACCCAAUGAUAUCUCUAGAAGACAUCUGAAAGAGAUUAAAGAUUUAUCGGUGAUGGAUGGGGAUGCGUCUGAUUAGCUUGUUGGCGGGGUAACGGCCCACCAAGGCAACGAUCAGUAGGGGUUCUGAGAGGAAGGUCCCCCACAUUGGAACUGAGAAACGGGCCAAACACCUACGGGAGGGAGCAGUGAGGAAUAUAGGUCAAUGGGAGAGAGCCUGAACGAGCCAAGUAGCGUGCAGGAAGACGGCCUUAUGGGUUGUAAACUGCUUUUAUAAGGGAAUAAAGGGAGGGUAGUGACUCUUUUUGUAGGUACCUGAUGAAUAAGGACCGGCUAAUUACGUG
rnacentral:rRNA from 1 species